UAUGUGAUCGUCUCUCGCAUAUCAAUAAGCGGAGGAAAAGAAACUAACAAGGAUUCCCCUAGUAACGGCGAGUGAAGCGGGAAGAGCUCAAAUUUGAAAUCUUAAAGGGUUUCCCUUUACGAAUUGUAGUUUAAAGAAGUGUUUUCUGUUGAGGUUUUGGUAAAAGUUCUUUGGAAUAGGACAUCAUAGAGGGUGAGAAUCCCGUAUUUGACCUUUACUUUCAACUUUGUGAUACACUUUCAAAGAGUCGGAUUGUUUGGGAAUGCAGUCCAAAAUGGGUGGUAAAUUUCAUCUAAAGCUAAAUAUUGGCGAGAGACCGAUAGCGAACAAGUACCGUGAGGGAAAGAUGAAAAGAACUUUGAAAAGAGAGUUAAACAGUACGUGAAAUUGUCAAAAGGGAAGCGUUUGACACCAGUGUUGUUUUUCUGAAAAUCAAUUAAAGAACUGUUUAUGCUAAGUUGUUUAGACUUUAUCAGCUAUCUGCUUAGUUUUGAGCUUUUCUUUAAUGCACUUUUCAGUUAACAAGUCAACAUCAAUUUCUUUUGCUGUAAAAAAGCUUGAGGAAGGUGGCUUGAGAUUCGUCUUAAGUGUUUAUAGCCUCUUGCCUAUGCAGUCGGAGAGAUUGAGGUCUGCAGCGUAGAUCCUUCGGGGCUAAAUGCAUUUGUGCUAAGUUAUAGCAUUUUAUAGACAACUUGUUGACUAUGAUUUGUCUUGUAGCUUACUCGCUUAUGUUAUUUUACCUACGCUUAGGAUGUUGAAGAUGUAGCACAUCAU
rnacentral:rRNA from 1 species